CCUACGGGAGGCAGCAGUGGGGGAUAUUGGACAAUGGGGGGAACCCUGAACCAGCGAAGCCGCGUGAGUGAAGAAGUAUUUCGGGAUGUAAAGCUCUGUCAGCAGGGAAGAAAGAAAUGACGGUACCUGACCAAGAAGCCCCGGCUAACUACGUGCCAGCAGCCGCGGUAAUACGUAGGGGGCAGGCGUUAUCCGGAAUUACUGGGUGUAAAGGGAGCGUAGACGGUUAUGUAAGUCUGGAGUGAAAGGCCGGGGCCCAACCCCGGGACUGCUCUUGAAACUAUUUAACUUGAGUGCAGGGGAGGUAGGCGGAAUGCCUGGUGUAGCGGUGAAAUGCGUAGAUAUUAGGAGGAACACCAGUGGCGAAGGCGGCUUACUGGACUGUAACUGACGUUGAGGCUCGAAAGCGUGGGGAGCAAACAGGAUUAGAUACCCUUGUAGUC
rnacentral:rRNA from 1 species